rnacentral:rRNA from 1 species
GAUCAUGGCUCAGAACGAACGCUGGCGGCAGGCCUCAAACAUGCAAGUCUAGGGGGUGUAGCAAUACAUCACCGGCGGACGGGUGCGUAACGCGUGGGAAUAUACCUAUCGAUUCGGAACAUACCCUAGAGUGGGGGAUAACGUAGCGAAAGUUACGCUAAUACCGCAUACGAUCUAAGGAUGAAAGUGGGGGAUCUUCGGACCUCAUGCUCAUGGAGUGGCCGAUAUCUGAUUAGCUAGUUGGUGAGGUAAAGGCUCACCAAGGCGACGAUCAGUAGCUGGUUUGAGAGAACGACCAGCCACACUGGAACUGAGACACGGUCCAGACUCCUACGGGAGGCAGCAGUGGGGAAUUUUGGACAAUGGGGGCAACCCUGAUCCAGCAAUGCCGCGUGAGUGAAGAAGGCCUUCGGGUUGUAAAGCUCUUUUGUCAGGGAAGAAACGGUGAGUUCUAAUACAGCUUGCUAAUGACGGUACCUGAAGAAUAAGCACCGGCUAACUACGUG